AGAGCUUGACUCAGCCAAGAGUAAGAAAGGCCAGAGAGGACGAGGAAAAUCCUCUUAGGUGGGGAGAUGACACCCUAAGGUUUGGGGAAGGACUCACCCGUGUGUGGACAGGCCCUCUGGACCAAGAAGAACCCUGGAAAGAAAGAUCAUGAUGGAUGAUCCAUCUGCAGGCAAACCAGGGCCUCCCCUGCUGCCCCCACGGGGCUGUGCGUCUGGGCAGCCAGGCCCUUGCUGGGCUGAAGGACUCACCAACACACGCCACGCUGACAACCAUGAGUGACAUGGUGCUGCCGGUGCAGACAGGCGGCCGCACCCCAGCUCAGCUCAGCAGCGCACAGGAUGUUAUCUGGCGCCCUGCCCGUGCAGUUGACGUGCUGACCACAUCAUGGGAGGGUGACGUACGCAGGCUCUUCCUACCUUGCAUGAGGUGCAGCGGGUGCUCACUCAAGAGUGGAAAAUGGCUUUCUGGAAAUGGUUCUCACUAGAACUGACACCUUGUGUCCUUCACUAUGAUCAGCUCAAAACACGUCUCAGAUCCAACCUCCCGGACACGAGGUGACUAAAAUCUGUGCUGACGAGAAAGACUUUUCACGUAUUUUUGUUGUUUUUAUCUGUGUUUCAAACUCUUCUUCGUGUGUAAUAUGCAAAAUAUCUAAUAGGUAUUAUGAAUGUUGUCAGAAUAAUUGUGACGAAUAAACCAUAAGGAUGUU